GACGAACGCUGGCGGCGUGCUUAACACAUGCAAGUCGAACGCUGAUGGCCCAGCUUGCUGGGUUGGAUGAGUGGCGAACGGGUGAGUAACACGUGAGUAACCUGCCCCCUUCUUUGGGAUAACGGUCGGAAACGGCUGCUAAUACCGGGUAUUCACUGUCCUUCGCAUGGGGGGUGGUGGAAAGGUUUUUUCUGGUGGGGGAUGGGCUCGCGGCCUAUCAGCUUGUUGGUGGGGUGAUGGCUUACCAAGGCUUUGACGGGUAACCGGCCUGAGAGGGUGACCGGUCACAUUGGGACUGAGAUACGGCCCAGACUCCUACGGGAGGCAGCAGUGGGGAAUAUUGCACAAUGGGCGAAAGCCUGAUGCAGCGACGCCGCGUGAGGGAUGGAGGCCUUCGGGUUGUAAACCUCUUUCGCUCAUGGUCAAGCCGCAGCUUUGGGUUGUGGUGAGGGUAGUGGGUAAAGAAGCACCGGCUAACUACGUGCCAGCAGCCGCGGUAAUACGUAGGGCGCGAGCGUUGUCCGGAAUUAUUGGGCGUAAAGGGCUUGUAGGCGGUUGGUCGCGUCUGCCGUGAAAUCCUCUGGCUUAACUGGGGGCGUGCGGUGGGUACGGGCUGACUUGAGUGCGGUAGGGGAGACUGGAACUCCUGGUGUAGCGGUGGAAUGCGCAGAUAUCAGGAAGAACACCGGUGGCGAAGGCGGGUCUCUGGGCCGUUACUGACGCUGAGGAGCGAAAGCGUGGGGAGCGAACAGG
rnacentral:rRNA from 1 species